rnacentral:rRNA from 1 species
GAUGAACGCUGGCGGCGUGCCUAAUACAUGCAAGUCGAGCGAACAGACGAGGAGCUUGCUCCUCUUACGUUAGCGGCGGACGGGUGAGUAACACGUGGAUAACCUACCUAUAAGACUGGGCUAACUUCGGGAAACCGGAGCUAAUACCGGAUAAUAUAUUGAACCGCAUGUUUCAAUAGUGACAGACGGUUUUGCUGUCACUUAUAGAUGGAUCCGCGCCGCAUUAGCUAGUUGGUAAGGUAACGGCUUACCAAGGCGACGAUGCGUAGCCGACCUGAGAGGGUGAUCGGCCACACUGGAACUGAGACACGGUCCAGACUCCUACGGGAGGCAGCAGUAGGGAAUCUUCCGCAAUGGGCGAAAGCCUGACGGAGCAACGCCGCGUGAGUGAUGAAGGUCUUCGGAUCGUAAAACUCUGUUAUUAGGGAAGAACAAAUGUGUAAGUAACUAUGCACGUCUUGACGGUACCUAAUCAGAAAGCCACGGCUAACUACGUG